rnacentral:rRNA from 1 species
GACGAACGCUGGCGGCGUGCCUAAUACAUGCAAGUUGAGCGAUGAAGAUUGGUGCUUGCACCAAUUUGAAGAGCAGCGAACGGGUGAGUAACGCGUGGGGAAUCUGCCUUUGAGCGGGGGACAACAUUUGGAAACGAAUGCUAAUACCGCAUAACAACUUUAAACAUAAGUUUUAAGUUUGAAAGAUGCAAUUGCAUCACUCAAAGAUGAUCCCGCGUUGUAUUAGCUAGUUGGUGAGGUAAAGGCUCACCAAGGCGAUGAUACAUAGCCGACCUGAGAGGGUGAUCGGCCACAUUGGGACUGAGACACGGCCCAAACUCCUACGGGAGGCAGCAGUAGGGAAUCUUCGGCAAUGGACGAAAGUCUGACCGAGCAACGCCGCGUGAGUGAAGAAGGUUUUCGGAUCGUAAAACUCUGUUGGUAGAGAAGAACGUUGGUGAGAGUGGAAAGCUCAUAAAGUGACGGUAACUACCCAGAAAGGGACGGCUAACUACGU